AUACGGAGGGUGCAAGCGUUAUUCGGAAUCACUGGGCGUAAAGGACGCGUAGGCGGGUUGGCAAGUCAGAUGUGAAAUCCUACAGCUUAACUGUAGAACUGCAUUUGAAACUGCUAACCUAGAGUAUGGGAGAGGGAGAUGGAAUUAGUGGUGUAGGGGUAAAAUCCGUAGAUAUCACUAGGAAUACCGAAAGCGAAGGCGAUCUCCUGGAACAUAACUGACGCUAAGGCGUGAAAGCGUGGGGAGCAAACAGGAUUAGAAACCCUAGUAGUCC
rnacentral:rRNA from 1 species